GUGCCAGCUUCAGCUACAAUUUGAAUCAAUGAAAUGCCCUACAAAAUGUCUUGCAAAGUGAUUUUCCUUCCACAGAGGAAAAAGAUCCAAUCUCUCUCUGAACUAGAGGUCAAGAGAUGAGUGGAGGAAAAGCACUUUGAGAAGAACAAGAAGAGAGGUCAUUGACAGAAAAAUCCCAGCCUCACUGCAGAAAACACCGGAUCCUCUUUGGGUUUUGGGGUUGAGAGCACGACCUUCAGCAACAUACAGCAG
rnacentral:lncRNA from 1 species